rnacentral:rRNA from 1 species
UUCCGGUUGAUCCUGCCGGACCUGACUGCUAUCGGAUUGAUACUAAGCCAUGCGAGUCAUUGUAGCAAUACAAGGCAUACGGCUCAGUAACGCGUAGUCAACCUACCCUAUGGACGGGGAUAACCUCGGGAAACUGAGAAUAAUACCCGAUAGAACAUUAUUCCUGGAAUGGUUUGUGUUCCAAAUGAUUUAUCGCCGUAGGAUGGGACUGCGGCCUAUCAGUUUGUUGGUGAGGUAAUGGCCCACCAAGACUAUUACAGGUACGGGCUCUGAGAGGAGUAGCCCGGAGAUGGGUACUGAGACACGGACCCAGGCCCUAUGGGGCGCAGCAGGCGAGAAAACUUUGCAAUGUGCGAAAGCACGACAAGGUUAAUCCGAGUGGUUUGUGCUAAACAGACCUUUUGUUAGUCCUAGAAACACUAACGAAUAAGGGGUGGGCAAGUUCUGGUGUCAGCCGCCGCGGUAAAACCAGCACCUCAAGUGGUCAGGAUGAUUAUUGGGCCUAAAGCAUCCGUAGCCGGCUCUGUAAGUUUUCGGUUAAAUCUGUAUGCUCAACAUACAGGCUGCCGGGAAUACUGCAGAGCUAGGGAGUGGGAGAGGUAGACGGUACUCGGUAGGAAGGGGUAAAAUCCUUUGAUCUAUUGAUGACCACCUGUGGCGAAGGCGGUCUACCAGAACACGUCCGACGGUGAGGGAUGAAAGCUGGGGGAGCAAACCGGAUUAGAUACCCGGGUAGUCCCAGCUGUAAACUAUGCAAACUCAGUGAUGCAUUGGCUUGUGGCCAAUGCAGUGCUGCAGGGAAGCCGUUAAGUUUGCCGCCUGGGAAGUACGUACGCAAGUAUGAAACUUAAAGGAAUUGGC